GCUGGGCACAGUGGUAUGUGCCUGUAGUCCCAGCUACUCGGGAGGCUGAGGUGGGAGGAUCGCUUGAACCCUGAAGUUCUGGGCUGUAGUGCGCUAUGCCAAUUGGGUGUCCGCACUAAGUUCGGCAUCAAUAUGGUGACCUCCCGGGAGCAGGGGAACAUCAGGUUGCCUAAGGAGGGGUGAACCGUCCCAGGCUGGAAACAGAGCAGGUCGAGACUCCCAUCCUGAUCAGUAGUGGGAUUACGCCUGUGAAUAGCCACUGCACUCCAGCCUGUGCAACAUAUUGAGACCCUGUCUCU
rnacentral:SRP_RNA from 1 species